ACUCUCUUAGCAAAUCUUGUAAAGAUUUUUCUAUCUGUCUUCGGGAAUUGUUCAUUCUCUACAACAAGUGAUGGUUCCAUUUUCACAUCAGGUGAUGACUGUACUUCCGCUUCAGCUGAUGGCUCCAUUUUCACAUUAGGUGAUUGUUGUACUUUUACUUCAGUUGAUGGCUCCAUUUGCACAUCAGGUGGUUGCACUUCCACUUUAUGUAAUGACUCAAUUUUUGUGUCAGUUGAUGGGACAACUUUCAUAGUAUUUGAUUGCUCAAUUUCCAUAGCAUUUGACUGGUCAUAUACUAGAUAGACAGCCGUCUCCGUAACAGUAAAUCCAUGCCCAAUAGCUACAAAAAUCUCCAAGUUAUCACCAACUCCUAAAUUUGAU
rnacentral:lncRNA from 1 species